GUCGAGAAUAAUUCACAAUGGGGGAAACCCUGAUGGUGCAACGCCGCGUGGAGGAUGAAGGUCUUCGGAUUGUAAACUCCUGUCAUCUGGGAGUAAGACCUGACGGUGAAUAGCCGGCAGGGUUGAUAGUACCAGAAGAGGAAGGGACGGCUAACUUCGUGCCAGCAGCCGCGGUAAUACGAAGGUCCCAAGCGUUGUUCGGAAUCACUGGGCGUAAAGGGAGCGUAGGCGGCGUGGUAAGUCAGAUGUGAAAUCCCGGGGCUCAACCCCGGAACUGCAUCCGAUACUGCCAUGCUUGAGGGUUGGAGAGGUAGCUGGAAUUCUCGGUGUAGCAGUGAAAUGCGUGGAUAUCGAGAGGAACACUCGUGGCGAAGGCGAGCUACUGGACAACAUCUGACGCUGAGGCUCGAAGGCCAGGGGAGCAAAAGGGAUUAGAAACCCCUGUAGUCC
rnacentral:rRNA from 1 species